UACGGAGGAUGCGAGCGUUAUCCGGAUUUAUUGGGUUUAAAGGGUGCGUAGGCGGGAUGCCAAGUCAGCGGUAAAAAUGCGGUGCUCAACGCCGUCGAGCCGUUGAAACUGGCGUUCUUGAGUGGGCGAGAAGUAUGCGGAAUGCGUGUUGUAGCGGUGAAAUGCAUAGAUAUCACGCAGAACUCCGAUUGCGAAGGCAGCAUACCGGCGCCCUACUGACGCUGAGGCACGAAAGCGUGGGUAUCGAACAGG
rnacentral:rRNA from 1 species